rnacentral:SRP_RNA from 1 species
CCGUGCUAGAUGGGGAGUUAGCGGUGCCCUGUAACCCGGAAUCCGCUAUACCGGGGUCGAAUUCCCACCGGAGGUCUAAAACCGGCUUGUCUCUUUUUUGGUAAGUAGCGAUGAUGGUCAGGUCCUGCGCAAUCCGAGCUCGCCCAACCCGGUCAGGACCGGAAGGUAGCAGCCGUAAGCGAAGCCUCGGAGGUGCCGUAGGGUCGCCUGGCCGGAGCUGUCUGCCCCAAAAGUGCAGGUCGGGGCGGAUCGAAAGUGGGUGCACGG